GAUGAACGCUGGCGGCGUGCCUAAUACAUGCAAGUCGAACGCACAGCGAAAGGUGCUUGCACCUUUCAAGUGAGUGGCGAACGGGUGAGUAACACGUGGACAACCUGCCUCAAGGCUGGGGAUAACAUUUGGAAACAGAUGCUAAUACCGAAUAAAACUCAGUGUCGCAUGACACAAAGUUAAAAGGCGCUUUGGCGUCACCUAGAGAUGGAUCCGCGGUGCAUUAGUUAGUUGGUGGGGUAAAGGCCUACCAAGACAAUGAUGCAUAGCCGAGUUGAGCGACUGAUCGGCCACAUUUGGACUGAGACACGGCCCAAACUCCUACGGGAGGCUGCAGUAGGGAAUCUUCCACAAUGGGCGAAAGCCUGAUGGAGCAACGCCGCGUGUGUGAUGAAGGCUUUCGGGUCGUAAAGCACUGUUGUAUGGGAAGAACAGCUAGAAUAGGGAAUGAUUUUAGUUUGACGGUACCAUACCAGAAAGGGACGGCUAAAUACGUGCCAGCCGCCGCAGUAA
rnacentral:rRNA from 1 species